GCCGAAGUGAUGGAAUUGGCAGACGUGCUGGACUCAAAAUCCAGUGGUAGCAAUACCGUGCGGGUUCGACCCCCGCCUUCGGCACCA
rnacentral:tRNA from 8 species